CAAGUAGGAGAAAAGAGUGAUGAGAACAGAGUUUGGAUAACAGAGUUAUGGAGAACAGAGUUAUGGAGAACCGAGUUAUGGAGAACAGAGUGAUGGAGAACCGAGUUAUGGAACAGAGUUAUGGAGAACGAGUUAUGAAGAACAGAGUUAGGAGAACAGAGUGAUGGAGAACAAGAGGUAUGGAGAACAGAGUGAUGGAGAACAGAGUUAUGGAGAACAGAGUGAUGGAGACAGAGUUAGGAGAACAGAGUUAUGGAGAACAGAGUUAUUGGGAAAGGUUAUGAGAACGAGUUUAUGGAGGACAGAUUAUGGAGAACAUAAGUUAUGGAGAACGAGUUAUGGAUAACAGAGUUAUGGAGGACAGAGUAUGGAGAACAGAGUGUAGGGAUAACAGAGUUAUGGAUAACAGAGUUAUGGAGAACAGAGUUAUGGAGACAGAGUGAUGAGAACAGAGUUAUGGAGAACAGAUUCUGGGAACAAGUUAUGGAGAACAGAGUUAUGGAGAAAGAGUUAUGGAGAACAGAGUGUAUGGAGAACAGAGUGUGGAACAAGUGAUGGAGAACAGAGUUAUGGAGAACAGAGUUAUGGAGAACAGAGUUAUGGAGAACAGAGUGAUGGAGAACAGAGUUAUGGAGAACAGAGUUUAUGGAGAAACAGAGUGAUGAGUACGAGUGGAUGGAGAGCAGGAAAAAAGGUUUUUGGAGAACAGAGGUUAUGGAGAACAGAGUGAUGGAGAACAGAGUUAUGGAGAACAGAGUGAUGGAGAAAGAGUGAUGAGAACAGAGUUCUGGAGAACAGAUUAUGGAGAACAGAGUAUGGAGA
ensembl:lncRNA